GCGGACCAUGCGCUCUAUUUUAUAACGCCCAAAUAAAACCCCUAUCAAUGUUUAUCAGAUUCAAUCCUUCCACUAUCUGUGAUUCAAUCUUUCUUCAUUCGUUACCCAGUACUUCUAACUUUUCAUUAUGAUUUCGUUGUCGCUCCAAUUUCCCAUUCAAUUUCAGAAUUUCUUAAAUCAGUAACGGUUCUAGGUUUGCCCUAAUGAUGAGAUUUCCGCUCAGAUUGAUUUAUUAGUGAAAUUACACCAGAAGAAAUGCACGCCAUGGAUUCGAUUGACUGUUGCCUCUAUAAAUUGUCUCCGAAAAUCACAGAACAGCAUCAGUCUCACCAGUUCGACAUGAUGUUUGGUGAGCCAAAAGAAGAAACCAUUAUAUCAGAACGAGGUUGAAUGACCUUUAUGCUCAUGUUGCGGUUCUUGGUUUGGGGAUUCUGAUGCAUGAUGGUAGUUUCUUUUGCUUUUGGUUCCUUGAUUGCAUGAUGGAGUCGAAAUUCUACGCAUCUAUCACAGUUUGAUCUUAAUUUUUAUUUGUUAAAUAUAUAGAUUCAAUUUCGUGGAAAUAACAGUUAUCAUUUUUGCAUGAAAAAUCAAGUAAAAUAUAUAUGCUGAUGAUAUUCAGAAGUUCGAAAGAAAAUUCAUAAUAAUUUGUUUUCAUAUAUUUUCAGGCUCAUGGAAGCAGAAGUAGGAAGAUGUAUUUUGCGAAUCUCGAUAGAUCAUCUUGGCAUUGUGACUAUAGUCAAAUACUAUGGAAAUGGCUGGGACUUAGGAGAUACCAUACUUCUUUUGAUAAAUUACUAUCUCUUGGUAAGCAUAAAAGUUAUAUGAUCUAUGAAUACUUUGAACUAUUGCUGCUUUUAUGGAUCACCAGAAACAAAUUGUGCUUUGAUGACUAUGGCCUGACAGUACCAGAGCCAUACAAAGAGUGUUGUCUGUCACUCAUGACUGUGAAGGAAGAUUAAAAGUGGUUAUGCACAAUUCAGUCUAUGAUUUACACAUUUCAGUCUACUUUAGCAUAGCUUGCUUCUUGCAAGAAGGUGAAAUAUGUCAGAGUGUUAGAAUGCUAUUUUAGACAGCCUAGCUAAUUUGAUUUGUUGUGAUUGGCAUCAAUGGGUAAUCCUGGAGUAUGCGGAUAAGGUUUUGUGGUUCAAACUACCAGCAGUGAGUUCGUAAUGGCAGAAUCAGGUUGGAAUGGUGUUUCAACAAACUUUAUGGACCUGCUUCUUGGUUAUCUUUUGGUCCCCUUUCAUGCUAUUUUUGUUACUGAAUAGUCUUUGUAACUUAGUUGGCACCGAAAAUGUGUAUAUAGGUGUGUGUAUCCACUUACAUGGUCAUCAGUUCGAUAGCCCCCAAGAGUUUUAAGGUGUGUGUAAAGUAUUGAAUUCUUGACAACCUUAAACAAACCCAUGCAAAUUAGGGAAGAGAUUCGUUUAAUGGGUUCCAUUGUGAUUUGAUUUGGUAAGUUGUUAUAAAGUGAAAAAAAUUCUAAGCUCAGUUAAAUGUGAUAGAGAGAAGUUAUUGCAGGGCUUCCAUAAUAUAUGUACAACUAAUUUAUCCACAGUUUGCUCUAUUAACUGCAGUAAAAAAUUUCAUAUUUUUGGCAAAGACAGAAAAGUAUGACAUACAUCCAGUUCGGCAUUUGUGUUGUGGGAAUGGAUUUUUAUGUUAAACUAGCUUUAACAGGUAAGGAAAGACCUCUUACCUGUAUAGUACUUCUAUCAUUUUUUAUGUGAUGUACCAUAAUCCAAUUAACAACUCUUACAACUGCAAAUUAUUAUGUGAUGUAUGACAUAUAUUCAGUUCAGCAUUUAUGUUGUGAGAAUGGAUUUUUACAUUAAACAUAUCCAGGAACUGGGUAUAUCUUUACAUUAAACAGGUGGAACGACCUCUCACCCGUACUUCUAUCAUUUUUAUGUGAUGUACCAUAAUCCAAUUAAAAACUCAAAAUACAGCUGCAAAUUAUUUCGCAGGUUGGAACUGAACAAGAUAUACCGUUAUGGGAGAUUCUCAUAUUCAAGUACCCUACAAGUAAUGGAGCAGCAACAACUGUGUUCAAGCUUCAUCGUGCCAUAGAAGGAUAUAUUCAUUCAUGGGUGCUCUGUUUAGCCGCGUACAAAGAUAUGAUAAUACCUCUCUUUUUUUUAGUUUUCUAUGCAAUCUGAUGAUCACUGACGAUCACAUGAGUAAGAAGAAUGUUUUUGAGCUUCUGUCUGUUUUGAAAGAUGUUGUAAAAAAAUUCCCAUAGGGGCUUUUUAAGAGUUAUGUGUUCAUAUAUCAUGUUGUCCUAUCAGGUCAUUUAGAGAAGGAGUUGAGUUUAUGUCGGUUUGUAUCUGUACUAUCACUUAUCCCUCUUUAUCAAAUCUAAGAAAUCAAGGCAAAGCUUGGU